rnacentral:rRNA from 1 species
GAGUUUGAUCCUGGCUCAGGAUGAACGCUAGCGGCAGGCUUAACACAUGCAAGUCGAGGGGUAACGGGGAAGCUUGCUUCCGCCGACGACCGGCGCACGGGUGCGUAACGCGUAUACAAUCUACCUUAUACUGGGGUAUAGCCUUUAGAAAUGAAGAUUAACCCCCCAUAGUCUCUUAGAGUGGCAUCACUUCUAGAGUAAAGGUUACGGUAUAAGAUGAGUAUGCGUUCUAUUAGUUUGUUGGUGUGGUAACGGCACACCAAGACUACGAUAGAUAGGGGCCCUGAGAGGGGGAUCCCCCACACUGGUACUGAGACACGGACCAGACUCCUACGGGAGGCAGCAGUGAGGAAUAUUGGACAAUGGAGGCAACUCUGAUCCAGCCAUGCCGCGUGCAGGAAGACUGCCCUAUGGGUUGUAAACUGCUUUUAUACAGGAAGAAACACCUCUACGUGUAGAGGCUUGACGGUACUGUAAGAAUAAGGAUCGGCUAACUCCGUGCCAGCAGCCGCGGUAAUACGGAGGAUCCAAGCGUUAUCCGGAAUCAUUGGGUUUAAAGGGUCCGUAGGUGGAUAAUUAAGUCAGAGGUGAAAUCUUGCAGCUCAACUGUAAAAUUGCCUUUGAAACUGGUUAUCUUGAGUUAUUAUGAAGUAGUUAGAAUAUAUAGUGUAGCGGUGAAAUGCAUAGAUAUUACAUAGAAUACCAAUUGCGAAGGCAGAUUACUAAUAAUCAACUGACACUGAUGGACGAAAGCGUGGGUAGCGAACAGGAUUAGAUACCCUGGUAGUCCACGCCGUAAACGAUGGUUACUAGCUGUUUGGACUUCGGUCUGAGUGGGCUAAGCGAAAGUGAUAAGUAACCCACCUGGGGAGUACGUUCGCAAGAAUGAAACUCAAAGGAAUUGACGGGGGCCCGCACAAGCGGUGGAGCAUGUGGUUUAAUUCGAUGAUACGCGAGGAACCUUACCAGGGCUUAAAUGUAAGUUGCAUUAGUUAGAGAUAGCUAUUUCUUCGGACCACUUACAAGGUGCUGCAUGGUUGUCGUCAGCUCGUGCCGUGAGGUGUCAGGUUAAGUCCUAUAACGAGCGCAACCCCUGUUGUUAGUUGCCAGCGAGUCAUGUCGGGAACUCUAGCAAGACAGCCAGUGCAAACUGUGAGGAAGGUGGGGAUGACGUCAAAUCAUCACGGCCCUUACGUCCUGGGCUACACACGUGCUACAAUGGUAGGUACAGAGAGCAGCCACUGCGCGAGCAGGAGCGAAUCUAUAAAACCUAUCACAGUUCGGAUCGGAGUCUGCAACUCGACUCCGUGAAGCUGGAAUCGCUAGUAAUCGGAUAUCAGCCAUGAUCCGGUGAAUACGUUCCCGGGCCUUGUACACACCGCCCGUCAAGCCAUGGAAGUUGGAAGUGCCUGAAGUCCGUCACCGUAAGGAGCGGCCUAGGGUAAAGUCGAUAACUAGGGCUAAGUCGUAACAAGGUAACC